AGUGAACGCUGGCGGUAGGCCUAACACAUGCAAGUCGAACGGCAGCACAGUAAGAGCUUGCUCUUACGGGUGGCGAGUGGCGGACGGGUGAGGAAUACAUCGGAAUCUACUUUUUCGUGGGGGAUAACGUAGGGAAACUUACGCUAAUACCGCAUACGACCUACGGGUGAAAGCAGGGGAUCUUCGGACCUUGCGCGAUUGAAUGAGCCGAUGUCGGAUUAGCUAGUUGGCGGGGUAAAGGCCCACCAAGGCGACGAUCCGUAGCUGGUCUGAGAGGAUGAUCAGCCACACUGGAACUGAGACACGGUCCAGACUCCUACGGGAGGCAGCAGUGGGGAAUAUUGGACAAUGGGCGCAAGCCUGAUCCAGCCAUACCGCGUGGGUGAAGAAGGCCUUCGGGUUGUAAAGCCCUUUUGUUGGGAAAGAAAAGCAGCAGGUUAAUACCCCGCUGUUCUGGCGGUACCCAAAGAAUAAGCACCGGCUAACUUCG
rnacentral:rRNA from 1 species